CCCCUUUGUGGUCGGUGUCAGUGGUGCAUGGUUGUCGUCAGCUCGUGUCGUGAGAUGUUGGGUUAAGUCCCGCAACGAGCGCAACCCUCGUCCUAUGUUGCCAGCGGGUCAUGCCGGGGACUCAUGGGAGACUGCCGGGGUCAACUCGGAGGAAGGUGGGGAUGACGUCAAAUCAUCAUGCCCCUUAUGUCUUGGGCUUCACGCAUGCUACAAUGGCCGGUACAAAGGGCUGCGAUACCGCGAGGUGGAGCGAAUCCCAGAAAGCCGGUCUCAGUUCGGAUUGGGGUCUGCAACUCGACCCCAUGAAGUCGGAGUCGCUAGUAAUCGCAGAUCAGCAACGCUCGCGGUCGAAUACGUUCCCGGGCCUU
rnacentral:rRNA from 1 species